rnacentral:tRNA from 1 species
GGGUGAUUAGCUCAGUUGGUUCAGAGCACCUCGUUUACACCGAGGGGGUCGGGGGUUCGAGUCCCUCAUUACCCACUA